UACGUAGGGUCCGAGCGUUGUCCGGAGUUACUGGGCGUAAAGUGCGCGCAGGUGGCUCGAUAAGACUGGCGUGAAAGCCCCCCGGCUCAACCGGGGAGGGUCGUUGGUGACUGUCGAGCUAGAGUCCGGAAGGGGCGAGUGGAAUUCCUGGUGUAGCGGUGAAAUGCGCAGAUAUCAGGAGGAACACCAAUGGCGAAGGCAGCUCGCUGGGACGUGACUGACGCUGAGACGCGAAAGCGUGGGGAGCAAACAGG
rnacentral:rRNA from 1 species